rnacentral:lncRNA from 1 species
GGGGGAGAAAAAAAUCGACAAAGAAGAAAAAACAUAAAAGGGAAGGAUGAAAACAGGGAGAAGAUUCAUCCAAGGGAGGAGGGGGGACGUUUGCUCACCUUUUUCUCUGAAAGGUAAAUAUUUGGGAAGCACUGAAUUCCACUCAAUCACCACUACCCCCUAAAUCCCUUAAUUAACUCCCCUUAUCCCUAAUUUCACUCCCUAAACGUCCACCAUAAUCCCCUCAACCAUUGAAUUCAAACCCCACAGAAACUAUUCAGAAUUUUAGUCAAACUACA